GAUGAACGCUAGCGGCAGGCCUAACACAUGCAAGUCGAGGGGUAGAAGGAGCUUGCUCCUUUGAGACCGGCGCACGGGUGCGUAACGCGUAUGCAAUCUACCUUGUACAGGGGAAUAGCCCAGAGAAAUUUGGAUUAAUGCCCCAUAGUAUAUAACCUUCGCAUGUUGGUUAUAUUAAAGUUCCAACGGUACAAGAUGAGCAUGCGUCCCAUUAGUUAGUUGGUAAGGUAACGGCUUACCAAGACGAUGAUGGGUAGGGGUCCUGAGAGGGAGAUCCCCCACACUGGUACUGAGACACGGACCAGACUCCUACGGGAGGCAGCAGUGAGGAAUAUUGGUCAAUGGUCGCAAGACUGAACCAGCCAUGCCGCGUGCAGGAAGACGGUCCUAUGGAUUGUAAACUGCUUUUAUACAGGAAGAAACCCUCCCACGUGUGGGAGCUUGACGGUACUGUAGGAAUAAGGAUCGGCUAACCCCGUG
rnacentral:rRNA from 1 species